rnacentral:rRNA from 1 species
GACGAAGGACCCGAGCGUUAUCCGGAUUCAUUGGGUUUAAAGGGUGCGUAGGUGGAUUGAUAAGUCAGUGGUGAAAUCUCCAGGCUUAACCUGGAAACUGCCAUUGAUACUGUCAAUCUUGAAUAUGUUUGAUGUGGGCGGAAUAUGACAUGUAGCGGUGAAAUGCUUAGAUAUGUCAUAGAACACCGAUUGCGAAGGCAGCUCACAAAGCCAUUAUUGACACUGAGGCACGAAAGUGUGGGGAUCAAACGG